GCUGUUAUGGCUCAGUGCAGAGCAUCCUCCUCAGUUCAUUCAUCUCCAAAAAAUGCUGUGAGGAAAGAGUGGGUUCGAAUCCCACCAGCAGCA